rnacentral:rRNA from 1 species
GACGAACGCUGGCGGCGUGCUUAACACAUGCAAGUCGAACGGAAAGGCCCUGCUUUUGUGGUGUUCUCGAGUGGCGAACGGGUGAGUAACACGUGAGUAACCUGCCCUUGACUUUGGGAUAACUUCAGGAAACUGGGGCUACUACCGGAUAGGAGCUCCUGCUGCAUGGUGGGCGUUGGAAAGUUUCGGCGUUUGGGGAUGGACUCGCGGCUUAUCAGCUUGUUGGUGGGGUAGUGGCUUACCAAGGCUUUGACGGGUAGCCGGCCUGAGAGGGUGACCGGCCACAUGGGGACUGAGAUACGGACCAGAAUCGUACGGGAGGCAGAAGUGGGGAGUAUUGCACAAUGGGAGGAAGCCUGAGGCAGCAACGCUGGGUGCGGGAUGACGGCCUUCGGGUUGUAAACCGCUGUCGCCUGUGACGAAGAGUGAGUGACGGUAAUGAGUAAAGAAGCACCGGCUAACUACGUG